rnacentral:lncRNA from 1 species
ACAGCGGGUGCUUGGAAAGAGUCAGUUCUGAGCCAGUGCGAUAGAAGCUCCAUGGAAUACCGAAUGUGGAUUACUGAGCCCAGGGGUCCACCAGAUGGGAGAUAAAUAUCUAAAACUCCCAACUCCAUGGAAACAGCCGCAGCUCUUCAAGGUGAUUUUGUACACACACAAAAAAGGAAAAGAAAGUGGAGUUCACAUGAGGCCCCCGCCCUUGCUGCGGCUUCCCAGCCUCUUUCCAUGUCUUCAGAAAUGCCGGCACAGAAAGGAGACAGAAGGAAAAACAGAAAUCAGAGUCAAAUUUUCAGGAUUCCUAUCUCAACCUCCUGGAAGAUUUAUUGGAAGUAAAUAAAUGUGCUUGUGAAUUGAU